rnacentral:lncRNA from 1 species
UGUCAUUGUUUUAUAGAUACCAUAGUGAGAAAGGAUUCAUUUCGCAGCACCUACGGCUUCCACUAGAUGUCAACGAUCUUUAUAAAGUUGUUUGAAGCGUCUAUGAUAAACAGAGAGCAAAUUAGAAUCCAAGGAAGUUGACAUGUCAUCACUUCAUUUUUUUGCGCCUGCGCAUAAAUCUGAGAAACGUGAGUUUGUCAUCAUUUUUUAUCUAGACAUAGGAUAGGUUGUGUGAAAAUAUUACUGAUGUUUAACGUUAAAAAUGGACCAAAAGAUUAAUGCUAAACAACAUUUGACAUGUUUGAACGAACAUAAAUGGAUUAUUUACUCGUUUUUUUUUGCUUUUCGGCGUGAUUUUACACUCCCCACACCACGUUUUGUGGGAGCAUAAUGAACGCUAAGUACUUGGUGUUAUUUGGACAUAAAUUAUGAACUUUGUCAAAAGAAACCACAUUUGUUCCGGACCUGGGAUGCCUUCCGGACCUGGGAUGCCUGCCUUCUGAUGGAGAUAAUCAAAGAUGCACAAUUUAGAGCAUCCAGUGGGGCUGUAUUACCGUCAGGUACGGCAACUGCAGCACCCGGAACCGCAGGGCUCUCCAGUGGGUAGUGCGGUCUGCCCAACGCAUCACCGGGGGCAAACUGCCUGCUUUCCAGGACACCUACAGCAUCCGGUGUCACAGGAUGGCCCAAAAGAUCAUCAAGGACAACAACCACCCGUGCCACUGCUAGUUAACCCCGCUAUCAUCCAGAAGGCGAGGUCAGUACAGGUGCAUCAAAGCUGGGACCGAGACACUGAAAAACAGCUUCUAUCUCAAGGCCAUCAGACUGUUAAAUGGUCAUCACUAGAACAUUUGACGCUGCUGCCUAUAUACAUAGACUUGAAUCACUGAGCACUUUAAUAAAUAGAACACUAGUAACUUUAAUAAUGUUUACAUAUUUUGCAUUACUCAUCUCAUAUGUAUAUACUCUAUUCUGUUCUAUUCUACUGUAUCUUAGUCUAUGCCGCUCUGACAUUGCUCGUCCAUAUAUUUAUAUAUUAUUCAUUCCAUUCCUUUACUUAGAUUUGUGUGUAUUGGGUAUAUGUUGUUAAGUUGUUCGAUAUUACUACACUGUCGGAGCUAGAAACACAAGCAUUUCGCUACACCCACAAUAACAUAUGCUAAACACGUGUAUGUGACCAAUAUAAUUUGAUUUGAUUUGUUAAGGGUUUGGGUUUGGGGAGGAAUUGAAUAUCUUUAUUAGAAAUAAAAAAAUAGGAGAUUGGGUGGUUCUUUGUGAUAGUGAGUAUUUGGUUGUGGUUGUUGAUGUUGUUUAUGUCUCCCUUGUUCAAUAGGAGCAGGCAGAGAGGAUUACGCACAGGUCCUCUCCAUAGCAGCAACACAGCGGGCACAAAAGCAAUUUUGCAUCAGGUAAGUAUUGGGUAUAGUUAUUUCUGUUUAAGGCUUUUCUGGGUAAGUAUACAUGUUUUUUUGUUUAUUAUAAAAAACUAAAUAAAAAAAUAAAGAUUAUGUUUGAGAAUUCCCUCCAGGUCAGUAUGCAUGUAUUAAAAGUUCACUCCAGGUAAAAUGAGGUAAGUAUACUUUUUCAAUGUAGAGUGUUCUUUUUCAAUGUAGAGAAUUAUUUAAAGCAGCCUCUGUACUCCUCCAUAAGUAGUUAAGAAUGAAAUAAAUAUAAGCAGGAGUAUAAGCAAUGGUUUAAAAGUGGGUAAAAGUUAUGACAUGGUAAUAACACAAUAAUAACAAUAAUUAACUGACUGUACGAGGCUAUAAACAAGCAGGAAAACUGCUUUUCUGGAUGCCUGCGAUUUUCAUUCCGCGUCAUUAAGACACGUGGUGCCCCUGCCACGCAUGAGGAUUGGGUGAUCUCGUUCUCAGAGACCGUUGUAAGGUAACUACUAGGCUACCUGGGGAGGCAGGUAGAAAUCCAUUCCGCAAGGCCGCAGGGACCGAGGGUAUAUCAAUGGCACGUUCUCAGCGUCAAUAUCCAGUUGCAGAGGGAGGUGUUCAGUCCCUGCUAGAACAGCUAGGAAGUCCAGCCUCCAGUUGCAGAGGGAGGUGUUCAGUCCCUGCUAGAACAGCUAGAGGCGUCACUACAGACCCUGGUUCGAUUCCUGGCUGUAUCGCAACCAGACGUGAUUGGAAGUCCCCUAG